UAAAACACAUGUUAAUAAAACCCAUAAAAUAAAACCAAAGUGUAUGUAAACGAAAACAUUUUUUGUUCAAUGCAUUUAUCACAUCCACAAGUAAAAUGAAAGAAUGUUAAAGAACUGAAAGUAAGAGAAAAGUGAAAAGAAUUUUUAAUUGUUUGGUAGAAGUGAAAUGAUAUUUAUGUGGGGUCCAUGUGUCUCUUUCUUUCCGUUGUCAUUUUUGUUUGUUCAAGACAAAGGAAAAUAAUUUUUUCCGUAACUUUCUCUCCCCCUCACAAUCACUCCCUCUCACUCACAUUUCUCAUCACUCUCCCUCUCAAUUACAACUUUCAUCACUCUCUCUCUCACUCACAACUUCUUCUUCUUACAUAUCUAAAUAUCUAUUUUUAGAUAUGUAUGUCUAAUAUUUAUAUUAUUUUUAUUUGCAAAUUGAUACUAGUUUACAUAUCUAAAUACAAAUUAAACUUACAUAUCUAAAUAUCUAUUUUCAGAUAUGUAUGUCUAAUAUGUAUUUUUAUUUAUUUGCAAAUUGAUACUAGUUUAUUUCUUUUUGUUUUUACUAGUCUUAUUUUACACUUGCAUUUGAGUUACUAUCUGGUUUUUUCAUUUCAUUUUUGAAUAUUUAUUUUGAGUUUACCAAUGUAUGAAUAAACAAGAAAAAAAUGUUUUUUGGGGUCACUAUUUUCCUCUUCCUUUUCUUAUAUGUUUAGAACUGUGUCUCCCUCAUAUCUCAUUCUGAUAUCUCAAACACUAUAUCCCUUAUAUCUCAUACACUAUAGGCUAAAAUAAUAUAAAUAUCUAUUUUAAGAUAUGUCGGUUUGUACGAUUUCUUUUCCCUUAAUUGUUUUAAAUUUGUUUAUAUUUAUGUUAAUUCUAUCUGUUUGUUUUUUGUUACUUUCGAAGAUUAACAUGUGUGUUUAGUCUUUAUUUUUUUUAUUUGCAAAUAGAUAUUAGUUUGAUGAGUGCAUUUCAUAUAGUUUUGUUAUUGAAUUUUUCUUAAUAUUAUAUGUCCCUAACGAAAAAUUUAUUAUUUACUCCAGCCACAAAAUUAUUCUCAUUCAACUUAUUUUCACUCACAUAAAAUUAUUUCCACUCAACUUACUUUUAUUUCCCACUCAUAAAAUUAUUUCCACACCCACUUAAUUUUACUUUUUACUCACAAAAUUAUUUCCACUCGAUAUACUUUUAAUUCCACUUAUAAUUAUUUUCAUUCAACUUACUUUUUAUUCCACUAACAAAAAGUUAUUUUCACUCAACUUAUUUUUACUUUCCACUCACAAAUUAUUCCCAAUCAACUUACUUUUAAUUCCACUCACAAAUUAUUCUCACUCAACUUACUUUUAAUUCCACUCACAACCACCAUUGUACACAAAUAAAAAUGAAACAGGUCUCCACUAAGAGCAAUCAGAAUCAAUUUUUGACAGUGAUUCCUAAUUGCCCUCAAUACUUCCUUACAACUUUGAAGGUCAUGUAUAAUCUGAACACCACAAGACCACUAGAGAAGGUAGUGGAAACAUUAGCAGAACCAAAAGAAAGACAGAAGUGAGACAAUGCUGACUAUAUAUGCAUGAGCCAUAUUCUCAACGAUAUGUCUGAAUCUUUGUUCAAUAUAUAUCAAAGUAGCAUUUCUGCAAAGGAACUAUGAGAUAAAUUAGAGUCAAAAUACAUGCAAGAAGACACUACAAGUGCAAUUGUUGAAUAAAACGUAAAGGAAAAAUUGUAGGUGUCAACAGGGGUCAUGCGCGAGACAAAGGCACAAGGCAACCACCAGAUUGUUGAAACCAUUGAAUCAUUAUGUGAAUGUUAUAUCUAUAUGCCCUUUCACAAUCUGAAUGGCAGAACUAAGAGUUGUACAUCUUUCUCAAGUGAAAUUACUUUUCUAUAAAUAGUGUCACUUUGGACAAAAUGAGAAAACAAAAAUUUGGAGAUUA